CCCUUGCUCAUCUCUCUCUCUCUCUCUCUCUCUCUCAAAAUAAAUAAACAAUAAAAUUUAAAUAGCCUAUUUGAACAUGUAUUUUGCUGAUCAUCAAUGUCAUGAACUAGAAGCUGCUGCUGCUCAGCUGCACUAAGUACCCAUUUUUAUUUACCUGUUUUUUUCAUAUAAUGUGGGGUUUUUGGAUAGAUAUUAUUAUUAAAUUAUUACAUAUUAGCAUUAAUAAGCUAUUCUUUCCCAAUCAUUGUUCAUAUUUUAUUUUUGUUUCACAAUUAUUACUAUAUUUAAGUGAAUUCAGUGCUUGGUGUGCAUCUUUUUAUACUACAGAUUCACUUCUUGGUCUCUUUUUGAUUGAUCUUUUGAACAGUUAAGAGUUUCAGGAAGAACUUUGGAAGAUAUCCUUUGUGAGCCUCUACAUUACUAGGGAUGAUUUCUCUUGUGUGUUUUUUGUUUUUUUACUUGAAUUAUAACUUGGCUGAACAUAGGGUUUGGUGGUAACUCUUUCUUUUCCAAAACAUUUUUAAGUGUUUGUUUUGUUUUUUACCUUUCCUUUUAAUGGCUUUUAAUGUUCUAUAGAAGCCAGCUUCACAGGUUUUCUUCUGAAAGAGAUUAUUCUUGUGGGUUCCUCCCCUAGCCUCAGGGAUACAGGAUUUGCUCCCUUUUUCUUGAAAUUCACAACUUCAGAAAGUGAUCGAGAAAGGUAAGACCUCGGAUCAUUCUUGAGAUGUUUUCUAGGUACCCUCACAAACUUAGGAAACAUUAGGAAUGUUUUCAUCUAUUGGUAAAACAUGAGAACAUUUUACCGUGUUAGAAAAGCUUUACUUUUAUACCGUUUGUUAUUUAUUGUCGUAUUUGGGUUUUUUCUUUUUCUUUUUUUUUUUUAUUUUCCAGGAAAUCAGUUAUCCAUUUCUUAAUCUUUAUUUCCUGUCUUCUACUUUAAUCAUCUUUAAUCACACAAUUUUUCUUUUCUCGUCUUUCUGUUGGAGGAGGUCACGGAGAGGACGUGACCGCCAAUUGACGCCGAGGCUGAAUCCGGGCAAUCAGAGCUCAAUCCGGGCACUCAGAGCCCCCUCACCGCUUCCGGUUCUCGUUCUUGAAAUGUUCGCGGAUCCGCCCGCGCGCGGGCGGCUGUAGGGCUCCUGGUUCCUACAAUGGGAAGUGUUUUCAGGGACAAUCUUGAAAGAGCAAGGUGUCGUUGAGACUAUCAGGAUGUGUACGUGACGAACCCGUUAAAGUCUCCGUAUAAUCUUUUAGGAAUCUGACUGGCAGGUGCGGCGUCGCCUCGUCUUCCGGUUGCCCAAGACAAGCCUCCAAAUGAGAACUGAAUUUCUGGCAUAGAAAGAAUUCCACCUUUCAAAGCUUCUACAAUGGAAAAGAAAAGCAUGGAUUUGAGAAACCGAGAGGAGUCCAAUGUUCCAGGGUUUUAGAGAAUUGAAGGCAUCUUAUGAUUGAAAAGACCAUCUGCCACGAGCCCUGAGCAUCUCUGCCCAUUCUUGCUGCAUGGUCCAAAUUGCAAAGCUUACGCUGGUCAUAUAGGCAACGGAAGAGGCCAAGGUGAUCAAAGUGUGACCACCAGGAAUGAGCAAAGAGAAUAUACAUGCUACCACCCUGCUCUCAGUCAAUGGAUACCUUUCUUGUGAGGCAUUAAGAGUUAUCUGGAAAGGCCAAGAGGAUAAUAGCCUAAAAAAUGAUAGAAGCCCUGGCUUGUGUAACUGAAGUCCUUCAGUGGAAUUCCUGUAUAACCAUGGUAGAUUGGUGAAGAACCUACUGAUUCAUUUUGGAGGUGUAUAUAUUAAUGGAUGAGAAGAAACAUUCACUUCAGGUUUUCACUGACAGAGGCAGAGCAGAAAUCAGAUGUCCGAUUCUUGGGUGUCUUUGGAAUAGAUUCUCUCAAGUGUGACUGAUGACACAAAGCUCUACCUGGAUGACUGAGUGGUGUGGACUCUUCAUUUCAAACCCUGGCCCUGGCAUAAAGUCCAUUACUGUCUCUUCAGGGAUGAAGAUACUGGUGCAACAGGUACAUUAGAGAUACUGAUGAGCAACUAUGAUUCUUCAACUUUGAUCUCAGCCUUUGACCCCGUGCUUGACUGACUCUGUGUGGGAUCAGCGACAGAGAGAGAUAUUAGGGGAUGACGUGAAUGGAAGAGGAGAAACAGACAACAGAGCAUACUGCGGGACAAAAAGAUUCUGGGAACCAAUUUAUGGAGGAUUAUGGUAUACAAUCGAGAAGCUCAUAAACUGAUACUUUGAAUAACACUUUCAGAAAGACCUUCUAUAAUUUGAAGAUUAAAUGUUGUGCUUUGAGAGACCUGUAUUAACCUACCAUAAGAGAGCACUUCCCAAAUAUGUUUGUUAACAUGUGAGAGUUGGAACCAAGUCCUGAUUAAUUGUAUACAGCAGAUUAGUUAUUGAUGAAAAGGAAUCUGAGUGAGAGAUGAACCUCUUAGGAAGAUAAGCACAACGGAUUCUAUGGUCUACAUCCCUUUCUUCUACCCUUGGGUAAGUCAUUUCAUCACUUUUUCCUUAGCUUUCUACAUGCAAAAUGAGGAAAUAAUAAUACCUACCACAUAAAUGUGUUGAGGAUUCCGACAGUGCUGGUACAUAGUUCAUUAUUUUCUGUACAAUCAUCAUCCAUGAGAUCGAUGGAAAGCGAAGUAGAACAAGAGGGUAGUGUGACUUUUAGAGGAAACAUGUCUUAAUAUGAAUCCUAUGGCCAGAAGGUACAAUCGUGGUCUCAGAACGAGGUCCCACAUUGAAAGUCACAAGAGCAAUUGUUGGCAAGCAUUGCUCUAUAAUUGGUUAAUUUCUCACAUGGACAUAUCUAUUUUAUGUUGUCUAUGUGAUGCCUAUAAAGACUAUUGCCUCGUUCAUCAGUUUAGGGAAGAUCGUGAAGACAUAGUAAUUACUAGAAUGUAUUCAGUACUUUUUUGUUUGCCAGGCACUGUUGUAAGAGUUUUGCAUAUUGCUUAAUUUGUACAUAAAAAUUAGGUAAGUACUGCUAUUCUCACUUUACAAAUGAGGUGACUGAGGUUAACUGAUUUCACUUGCUGGUGGUCACACAGCAAAUAAGUAAAAACUGCAGUUUGAAACUAAGUCACCUGAUUCUAAAAUCUGAAUUCUUCAUCACCAUAUUAUGGUGUCACCUUUGUAAUAUAUACAUUCUAUAUAUGCAUUUGCUGUGUGUUUGUUUCUUGUUCUAGAAUUGGAUUUUAACCUGGUUCCACAACUUAUUAAUUUUAUGUCCUUAAGCAAUUUUAUUGGCCUCCAUGGGGAUAAUGAUAACAACAACAUAGGGUAAUGGAAGGAUUAAGUGGCCAGAUACAAGUACUGUACAAGUACAAAACAAGUACUGUUUUGAAAAGUACUGGGGACAGAGAAAGCACUUAAUACAUGUUGUCUUUGUUAUAUUUUCAUUAUUGCUUAAUGAUUUUGUUAUAUCAAUCCAUCUUUAUUACUGACUAUGCCGAUAGCAACCUUUAAAAAUUUUAUAUCUUUACUGUAUAUAUAUUAAAAUAUUUUGUAGAGAUACACAAUAUUUGAAAGUGUCUUAUAGCCAUUAGCAAUCUCUAUUUCACAAUGUAAAGGGAUCUAUGGUCAUUAACAAAAUGGUUUUGAGUAGAGGAGUUCUAUCAUCACAGAAGACUAAGUGGUAACAGAAUUUGGCACAGUGCCUUGUCCAUAGUAGGCUCUCAAUAAAUAUUUGAUAAACUAAUGAAUAAAUAGCACUUAUUCCAAUAGUGCCUUACUAGAGAACAAACAGAGGAAAUGACAAUGUUAGCUCUAAUACCAUGGUUAACCACGAGCACAGAAGGAAACUCAGCCCAACUGAACAAACACAAUAUACUUAAAACUAAAACACUUAGUAAUGCCAUAAAUCUUGCAGGGAUCCAAAGAAAUCCCUAGGAAAAAAUAAUGGAAGAGUCACAGAGAAGUUAAGACUUAAGAUCUGACAGGUUAAUAGAUUUUAUUUACUGGGGGAAAAGGCACCCCACUCAUUAAACCACAUGUAUAACAAAUGAAAACAUUACCUCCUAGUGUUAGGAUUGGUAUGGGGAGUAAUUAUUAAAUAUACUUUUCCUACAUUAUGACCUAUGCAGUAUAUUAUGUAUAUUUCAUGUAGAUUUAUAUAAAUUCAUAUGUAUCUGAUAGUUUUGCUCACCCAUUGCCGCAAUAAUGCUGCCUAGCAAACCAUUGCAAAAUUUAGCGGCUUAAACAACACACUUUUAUUCUUAUGCUCACCUGACUGUAGGCCAGUUAUGGUUCAGCCAAUCUAAGAUACAUUCUGUCGGGUGUCUCUACUUCAUGGUGUGAGUAAACUAGGUUUAACCCCAUGGUAUGGGUUGGGUUCAGACCCACUAUGAUUUUCUCACAUCCACCCUAGCCCAGUGAGGCAAAUUCUUCUUACAGUGAGUGGCAGGAAGUCAAGAGGCCAAUCUGAAGGCCUCUACUUCUGUCAUAUCCAAGAACUGUCCUUUGGCCAAAGCAAGUCACCUACAGUGGUGUAUCAAAAUGUCCUCACUCACCCCAGUGCACCACAGCAGGAAUGUACUUCCAUGCAAGGAACCGUAAGCGUGCCUAUAUUGUCAAUUUGAAGAAGGAAAUAGAAACAAACUUUGUCAGUCUUCCUUAGAAAACAAUGAUAGACUCUGAGUCAGUAAUAAGCAAAACAGGUAGACAUUUGGGUAAGAGAAUAUAGAGGGUAUAGAAAAAUUUGAGACCGAGAAGUAGGGGGAAGGUGUGACUAUAGAAAGCACAUUUGGGGCACUGCCUGCUCUUGGAGUGGAAACACAGAAGAAUUGAAACAAGAAUCCAGAGUCAAGCAAAGAAAACCUGGACUAACAAAUAGGCUCCAAAGUCAGGAGCCAGCAAACAAAAUUCAGACCUUGAGUCUCCCUAAACUGAAAUGUGCAUGCCUUCUAUUAAAUUAUACUUAUCUACAUGAACAUAGUUUGUAACAACAAACAUCAUUGCUUCUUGCUUUGUAAUACAUGUAAUUUUAUUUCAUGCAGUUGGUAAAAUUCUAAGAUGGCCAACACCUAUUUAUAAUAUUCUCUCUUUGCAUGUAGUGGAACCUGUAACUUGCAUCUAACCAAUAGAACAUGGCAAAUAUGAAGGGAUUGAUGAUGUAAUUAAAAUCAAACUAAACAGUUUAAUCAAAAGGGAGAUUAUUCUGGGUGGGCCUGUCAUAACCAGAUGAGCUCUUUUUUUUUUUUUUUUUUUAAGUUUAUCUGUUUUGAGAGAGUGAGAACUAGCAGUGGGGAGGGGAAUACAGAAAGGGAGAGGGACAGAGAAUCUGAAGUGGUCUCUGUGCUGACA